GCUGGCGGCAGGCCUCAUACAUGCAAGUCGAGCGAGAAACCUUCCUUCGGGAAGGCGGACAGCGGCAGACGGGUGAGUAACGCGUGGGAACGUACCCUUUGGUUCGGAACAACUCCGGGAAACUGGAGCUAAUACCGAAUAAGCCCUCCGGGGGAAAGAUUUAUCGCCGAAGGAUCGGCCCGCGUCUGAUUAGCUAGUUGGUGGGGUAAUGGCCCACCAAGGCGACGAUCAGUAGCUGGUCUGAGAGGAUGAUCAGCCACACUGGGACUGAGACACGGCCCAGACUCCUACGGGAGGCAGCAGUAGGGAAUAUUGGACAAUGGGCGAAAGCCUGAUCCAGCCAUGCCGCGUGAGUGAUGAAGGCCCUAGGGUUGUAAAGCUCUUUCGGUGGGGAAGAUAAUGACGGUACCCACAGAAGAAGCCCCGGCUAACUUCGUGCCAGCAGCCGCGGUAAUACGAAGGGGGCUAGCGUUGUUCGGAAUUACUGGGCGUAAAGCGCACGUAGGCGGAUCGUUUAGUCGGGGGUGAAAUCCCGGGGCUCAACCCCGGAACUGCCUUCGAUACUGGCGAUCUUGA
rnacentral:rRNA from 1 species